rnacentral:rRNA from 1 species
AGUGAACGCUGGCGGUAGGCCUGACACAUGCAAGUCGAGCGGCAGCACAGUAAGAGCUUGCUCUUACGGGUGGCGAGUGGCGGACGGGUGAGGAAUACAUCGGAAUCUACUUUUUCGUGGGGGAUAACGUAGGGAAACUUACGCUAAUACCGCAUACGACCUACGGGUGAAAGCAGGGGAUCUUCGGACCUUGCGCGAUUGAAUGAGCCGAUGUCGGAUUAGCUAGUUGGCGGGGUAAAGGCCCACCAAGGCGACGAUCCGUAGCUGGUCUGAGAGGAUGAUCAGCCACACUGGAACUGAGACACGGUCCAGACUCCUACGGGAGGCAGCAGUGGGGAAUAUUGGACAAUGGGCGCAAGCCUGAUCCAGCCAUACCGCGUGGGUGAAGAAGGCCUUCGGGUUGUAAAGCCCUUUUGUUGGGAAAGAAAAGCAGCAGGUUAAUACCCCGCUGUUCUGACGGUACCCAAAGAAUAAGCACCGGCUAACUUCGUG